AGAUGAAGCACCCAGAGGACCACAAUCCUCGGAUUUUAUGAGAAGACCUUCUGCCCUGCCUGCCCUUUUGAGACCUUUAUCUGAAAAGGAACCUGCAAUCCUAGAAAAGAGGUGGAGGCAGGCUUGAUUCAGUUAAGGAAGUUCUUUCUUCUCAGCAAUUACCACGCCAAUUCUGUGGAAAAGCAACAUUUGGAAGACGAGAGAAAUCCACUGUAGGAAGUAUUAGAAAUACCUGCAAUUAGGCUUCAAACAAGCAAAUGAGGGGCAGGAAAAGUAAAUGACGACAGCCUGUGUCCUCUCCAUGACACCACUCUGCCUCCAUGGAACCACUCUGCCCCCAUGGAUCUCUCCAGUUUUAAGUCUGGGGAAAUCUAUCAAUCACACAAUUUCAGUUAGCAUUCCAAGAACUAGGGGAAGGCCCGAGUAAUCUAUUCAAAGACAUGCUUCAGAAAGAACACACCGACCCCAUGGAGAGUUAAACCUGAUUACCAAGAAGCAGGAUAGUUAGGUGUUUCCGCUAUUUACAUAAUCAUUGUAAAUAUAAGUUACAGACUAAUUACAAUGAUAAUUAUGACAAUGAGCCUGGCAUGGAGGAAGAGUUUAAUAAAUAAUAUUUGAUGAA
rnacentral:lncRNA from 1 species